UGAUCGGAACUCCCGAGCCUAGGGAUGUUGUGAAGUGUUUGAAUAUGUAUGCACAGGCGCAACAAGACGUCACCAGGAAUAGGUGUAUUUAGGUGUCGCACCUGAGCAGGAAAGGGAGGGUCUGUGGAAGUGCAUUUUUGCGCGAAACAAUUGGCACCCGGCAAAACACACUGGUGUCCGUGCGAUCAGUGGCUUGAUGUCCUGUGAUUUUACCUGCACAUGAAGAAAUAAAGAAACUUCCCUCAGCGAGCAGGAAACCUGAAGAAACCAAUAGUGAAGGCCGUAAUCUAGUCAGCUGUCUGUAAACACAGCCAUGUCCAUAUGUAUGCUGCUUGGAAAAUUCCCUCAACCUCAGUAUCACCUCCCAAACUCUGGGCAAAUUGGCAUUGGUUCUUACUUUUCUAACCUUUUAAGUAGAAUAUGUUAAUAAAUGAGUCAUGUCCAGAGCAACUUUGAAGCCUUGCCUGAAUGCUGAAAUAAGACAGUGAUAAAUCAGCCCCAGUUUUUUCAUCCUGCUAUGUACAUAUGCGGUGUCCCAGUACGGGAUAUGGUCCUUCUGUCCUGUCAGGUUGAGUCCCUGUCUUUCCCCGGGGCUCUCCUGCAGUAUCUCCCACUGUGUAUAUAGGUUUCACAUAAAGGGUUUUCACAUAAUGAGUAAAGGAUCUUUAUUGUUUGUCACAUGAAUAUAUUUGUACUACAUGAUUGUGUUAAAGUCACAUGUUUAAGUCAUAUGAUUGUUACCCAGAGAACCCAGUGACCAGGUGACUUCCCAAGUAACCUAUGGGCUCCUUGCACAGCCCCCCUAUAUAAGAUAGGGAGGAGCUGCAUUCGCUCUCUUUUCUCUUAUGUCUUGUGAUUUUCUUCCUGCUGAGGUCCAGUGCAGUUCAGACGACUCGGUGUGUGUGUCCAGAGCAUUGGAGGCCUCAAGCCUAAAGUCUGCAGCCACCUGUCAGUUGCAAGUAAGCUAAAGUCAUCUAACUGUCAGUUAUCAAGUCAGUCAAGUCAAGUCUACUGUCUAUUCAAGGUGGCCUGCAUUAUAGUCAGUCUACCUACUGCAAGUCCCAGCAAGCCUGCAAGGUCUCUCUGUGUCACUGGCCACCUCUCUGGGAUGCUGGCUGAACUGUAUAGAGUGUACCACCUGUCUAAGCUCAGUAAAA